GGGUGAUUAGCUCAGCUGGGAGAGCAUCUGCCUUACAAGCAGAGGGUCGGCGGUUCGAUCCCGUCAUCACCCGCCA
rnacentral:tRNA from 1 species